ACGUCCUAGAAAGCUUCAAAUAUGGGACAAGAGUGAAAAUACUUGAAGCCAGCAGCUACUGCUUGAAUAAGCUGGGCAGCAGGGCACUAGAUCAUGAUCUGGUCAACUCUUUCUUUAAAGAAGGGUACAAAGGAUCACCAUCUCUCCAUAAUGAGAUCCAGUGAAACACGUCGGAACCAGUAUGUACCAGGCCUGGAUUUUGACUCUUGAGAUUUUCCCGGACAUGCUGAGCUCUAAAGAGGCACGUUCUGCUGUUGCUGCCGAAGUAAAAUGUUAUACUCCCAGCUGUUGUCUCCAAGGAAGAUCUUCUCUUGAGAAUACACCUGACUCAUAGAAGCUUCCAGACUCCCUCUAGACUCCUUCUGCAAAGUCAUUCCUGCCUCCUGCUGAUAGAUGAAGGCACCCUCACCAUGUUCCCAUUCCACUGUGUGCAUAACUACAGAACAUGAAUUAUCUGUGUUUUUAAGUGUCUGUGUGGUUGUUAGUCUCCACUCACUCCUUCCAGGACAACCCUGGAGCAGGGAUUGUCUCUUACUCAUUAUUGUGUUCUGGUACCUGGUACAGCCCUAAGUGUCAAAUAAAUGUUGUUAAAUGAAAUCAAGAAUUAAUUUACCCAAAACUGUUCCCUAUGAUAACAAAUGGAGAGAAUGUUCAGACCCUGAAAAUCUCUGUUUCUUCAUCUGUGAGAAAUUAAGAGACUGAUAACAUACAAUCCCCAAGUGCUUCUUCCUUUAUGAAUCUAUUCAUGGGGGUUGGCAGAGCUAGUACAAUUUUAACCCUGCACUACGGGGUUCUUACCCACCUUACAUCACAGAGAACACUAUCAAUCCCACGAUUACUCAUUUUGAUUUUCUAGCCACUUUCAAAACUGCUACAAUCUACUGAAGUGAUCAAUUCAUGCAUUUGGCCCUUUCAAUACACUGUGAGCUACUAAGAAGUGGGGACCUUGACUUUUUGCUUUGCUGGAACCUAGUGUACUCUCAAUAAAUGCUUGCUGAACUGAACUACGUCAUUUCUGACCUCCAAAUCUCAAUUUCCAUUUUUAUUUCUCUAGACCCACUCAUGUGUCCAGCUAUGUUUGU